rnacentral:rRNA from 1 species
UGGGGAUUAUUGGACAAUGGGCGCAAGCCUGAUCCAGCCAUGCCGCGUGUGUGAAGAAGGCCUUUUGGUUGUAAAGCACUUUAAGCGAGGAGGAGGCUACUUGGAUUAAUACUCUAGGAUAGUGGACGUUACUCGCAGAAUAAGCACCGGCUAACUCUGUGCCAGCAGCCGCGGUAAUACAGAGGGUGCGAGCGUUAAUCGGAUUUACUGGGCGUAAAGCGUGCGUAGGCGGCUUCUUAAGUCGGAUGUGAAAUCCCUGAGCUUAACUUAGGAAUUGCAUUCGAUACUGGGAAGCUAGAGUAUGGGAGAGGAUGGUAGAAUUCCAGGUGUAGCGGUGAAAUGCGUAGAGAUCUGGAGGAAUACCGAUGGCGAGGGCAGCCAUCUGGCCUAAUACUGACGCUGAGGUACGAAAGCAUGGGGAGCAAACAGG